GGCUCGUUUUCACAAUUCAGUCAUUAUCCUUUCUGCUUUCCUCCUGGAAGCAUUAAGGUUGAAGUUUUCUUCUAAAGAUCAAAGUUUUGAUUUGUUAUAUUAGUUCGGAUUUGUUUGAUUUUUGUUUGUGUUCGGUUUCAAGUGCUGAUUUGUAACUUUUCUCCCCCCCCCACACACGCCUUUUGACCCCUGAAUUAUUUAAAAGUCCAUUGUUG
rnacentral:lncRNA from 10 species